GACGAACGCUGGCGGCGUGCUUAACACAUGCACGUCGAACGGAGUGGCGAACGGGUGAGUAACACGUGGGUGACCUCCCCUGCACUUCGGGAUAAGCCUGGGAAACUGGGUCUAAUACCGGAUAGUGUGGGAUGGGCCCGCGGCCUAUCAGCUUGUUGGUGGGGUAAUGGCCGACCAAGGCGGCGACGGGUAGCCGGCCUGCGAGGGUGGACGGCCACAUUGGGACUGAGACAGGGGCCAGACUGCUACGGUAGGCAGCAGGGGGGAAUAGUGCAAAAGGGGCGGAGGCCGGAUGCAGCGAAGCCGGGUGGGGGAUGACGGCCGUCGGGUUGUAAACUCCUUUGACCAGCGACGCGGUAGAUGGAGAAGAAGAACCGGCUAACUACGUGCCAGCAGCCGCGGUAAUAC
rnacentral:rRNA from 1 species